rnacentral:rRNA from 1 species
UGCUCAACCGGGGAGGGUCAUUGGAAACUGGGGAACUUGAGUGCAGAAGAGGAGAGUGGAAUUCCACGUGUAGCGGUGAAAUGCGUAGAGAUGUGGANGGAACACCAGUNGGNCGAAGGCNGACUCUNCUGGUCUGUAACUGANCGCUGAGGCGCGAAAGCGUGGGGAGCGAACAGGAUUAGAUACCCUGGUAGUCCACGCCGUAAACGAUGAGUGCUAAGUGUUAGAGGGUUUCCGCCCUUUAGUGCUGCAGCAAACGCAUUAAGCACUCCGCCUGGGGAGUACGGUCGCAAGACUGAAACUCAAAGGAAUUGACGGGGGCCCGCACAAGCGGUGGAGCAUGUGGUUUAAUUCGAAGCAACGCGAAGAACCUUACCAGGUCUUGACAUCCUCUGACAACCCUAGAGAUAGGGCUUCCCCUUCGGGGGCAGAGUGACAGGUGGUGCAUGGUUGUCGUCAGCUCGUGUCGUGAGAUGUUGGGUUAAGUCCCGCAACGAGCGCAACCCUUGAUCUUAGUUGCCAGCAUUCAGUUGGGCACUCUAAGGUGACUGCCGGUGACAAAACCGGAGGAAGGUGGGGAUGACGUCAAAUCAUCAUGCCCCUUAUGACCUGGGCUACACACGUGCUACAAUGGGCAGAACAAAGGGGCAGCGAAACCGCGAGGCUUAGGCCAAUCCCCCAAAUCUGUUCUUCAGUUCGGGAUCGCCAGUCCUUCCAACUUCGAC